GACAGAGGGUGCAAACGUUGUUCGGAUUUACUGGGCGUAAAGCGCGUGUAGGCGGCCUUGCAAGUCGGAUGUGAAAGCCCACGGCUCAACCGUGGAAGUGCAUCCGAAACUGCAUAGCUUGAGUCUCGGAGAGGAAGGUGGAAUGCUUGGUGUAGAGGUGAAAUUCGUAGAUAUCAAGCAGAACACCUGCGGCGAAGGCGGCCUUCUGGACGAUGACUGACGCUGAGACGCGAAAGCGUGGGGAGCAAACGGG
rnacentral:rRNA from 1 species